AUUGAACGCUGGCGGCAUGCCUUACACAUGCAAGUCGAACGGCAGCACGGGUGCUUGCACCUGGUGGCGAGUGGCGAACGGGUGAGUAAUACAUCGGAACGUACCUUAUCGUGGGGGAUAACGCAGCGAAAGCUGUGCUAAUACCGCAUACGCCCUGAGGGGGAAAGCGGGGGAUCGCAAGACCUCGCGCGAUUAGAGCGGCCGAUGCCUGAUUAGCUUGUUGGUGGGGUAAAGGCCCACCAAGGCGACGAUCAGUAGCUGGUCUGUGAGGACGAUCAGCCACACUGGGACUGAGACACGGCCCAGACUCCUACGGGAGGCAGCAGUGGGGAAUUUUGGACAAUGGGGGCAACCCUGAUCCAGCAAUGCCGCGUGAGUGAAGAAGGCCUUCGGGUUGUAAAGCUCUUUUGUCAGGGAAGAAACACCGGCUCUAACACAGUCCGGGAAUGACGGUACCUGAAGAAUAAGCACCGGCUAACUUCGUGCCAGCAGCCGCCGUAA
rnacentral:rRNA from 1 species